rnacentral:rRNA from 1 species
AACGAACGCUGGCGGCAGGCUUAACACAUGCAAGUCGAACGCCCCUUCGGGGGAGUGGCAGACGGGUGAGUAACGCGUGGGAAUUUACCCAGCUCUACGGAACAACUUGAGGAAACUUGAGCUAAUACCGUAUACGCCCUUUUGGGGAAAGAUUUAUCGGAGUUGGAUGAGCCCGCGUUUGAUUAGCUAGUUGGUGGGGUAAUGGCCUACCAAGGCGACGAUCAAUAGCUGGUCUGAGAGGAUGAUCAGCCACACUGGGACUGAGACACGGCCCAGACUCCUACGGGAGGCAGCAGUGGGGAAUAUUGGACAAUGGGCGCAAGCCUGAUCCAGCCAUGCCGCGUGAGUGAUGAAGGCCCUAGGGUUGUAAAGCUCUUUCAACGGUGAAGAUAAUGACGGUAACCGUAGAAGAAGCCCCGGCUAACUUCGUGCCAGCGCCGCGGUAA